rnacentral:lncRNA from 1 species
AUCAAAUAAUUCUACAGAGGAAAUGCUUUGAUGAGUUUGGAACCCCUGAUGACAGAAGCCCUACGGGAACAGAUCUGGGCCCUGGAGAUGAGAACUGUGCAGGAUGAGGAAGAGGGAAAGGCAUCUGACUGAACAGACAGUGACUCCCAAUGCACAAGGAACAGACGGUCAUCCUUACAACGAACCAGAAGCUGCACAACAGGCUGAACAUUUGGGAGUGACUUUCCUUGGGUCAAGGGCCACUGCUGUCUAGCUUGUGAAAUAAGCCAGAGCAGACUCACAACGAUCCAGGACAACUUUGAGGCUGUUUUUCCUGCUUGCAGUAGCAGUGUGAUCCCUGAACAGAAUUUCCACCAAGAGAGUGACUUUGGACUUAGAAUGCCGGUUCCUUCUUCUGGAAGAAUGGCUUUCGUGGUUGCUUGAAUGCUUCGGUGGGCUGUCUUCAGAACCUGCCCAAAGAAAGCCAACACAUU